AGGAGGAACAGCCCCAGUGGCGGGGCCAGGUCUGGAAACCUGGGUUCAGCUCCGGCAGGAACUCCGUCUGCAGGGCCUGGAGGCUCCGGGGCGGG
rnacentral:pre_miRNA from 1 species